GUUGUAUUAACUAUGUGCUAUAAAAAAGAAUGGAAAAUAUGUAAAAGUUUUGCAAAGGAUCCUUUUAAAUCAAGGAUCUGUAUUUUCAUCAGUAUGAAUUAGGUAUUCCCUUUCCCAACUAAGAUCUCUCCACAUCUUAAUAAACAGUUUCAUAAAUUGCGAAGGCCAAAAAAUGUAUCCUUUAAUUGUCAGCUCUUUGAACUUAGUUAGCUAUGUUAGUUUUUGGAUGGAAUACAUUGCUGGGCUUGUACUAGAAACUUUUACAGCUUGAUGAAGGGCCUCUUAGAAUUUAUAGCUUAGGUUUUGAGAACCCAGGGUCUUCUUGAUACCAGGAUGAGAUAUAAUUGCACCUUAAUCAAAGAAAAUUUAUAAUAGAAAGUGGCAUGUUGCUAAUCAGAAUAAAGAUCUAGUAUAUCUUUGAAUUUGAUCAAAUCUCAAGGUUUAUUGAGCCAACUAGGUAUGAAUGUCCAAAACAUACUAAUUAUUAUAGAAAGCACUUGUCAAGCUAGUAAACAAAUAUGUAAGCUAGUUUAAUUUUGUAUAUUUGAUUACUAAAAACUUCAUGCAUGCUAUAGGUAGAAAUGUACAUAAUUGAUGACAAAACUGUUCUUGUUAGUGUGCAGAUAAUUUUUUUCCUCGAAUAAUGUAGAUAUCACUGAUCUUGCAAAUUAUACUAUUUUAAAAUGGGGUUGGGGGUGGUGGUGGUAUUUUUGUUAUAAAAACAAACAAAACCAUCUGUGGUGGUGUGUUUCUAUGUACUCUUUAAUUCCAAAUCUUUUUCCCAUUUUUGUCAAUGUUUUCAGGAACUAGCCUUAAGUAAUUGUCUAAUUCCUGAUGGUUCAUUCUGAUGUUUUAUGUAGUUGUAAUUAGAGAACAUUAAAUACCACAGUACUUAAGGUUAAGAUAGGGAAGGACAAAAGCUAUACCAUAUUAAAAAAAAGAAAUGCUUUAACUACACCAAAAUGGAUAAAGGAUGAAAAUAUGGGAGAAAGUAUACCUAAGAAAUGGAUACAGCAUGAAAAAAGAUUAGUGACUCAUUCAUAAACCAAGUAGAAAGAUAGUUGGCCUAAUAUAUAGGUUUUCUAUUUUGAUAAUCAUACAUCUAAUUGAAGUAAAUUUGCUAUACUGUGUUCCUUUCUCAUAUUCAUUUCAAUGUAAAAUUUAUACUACUUUCCCAUGGAGUUAAACAGAAAAUUUAGUCAAAAAACACUCUAAAAGUUUUCCGAGUUUGUUUUCUAAGAUGGAACCUAUUGUGCCAUAUUAAAAUUUCAUAAACAGAGUAAAUGACAGUUUAAAAAAAGUAAAAGAUAGCCUUGAAGAGUAUUGUAUUGAAUUAUAUUUUCCCAAAAAUUAGGUGCUUUUUAUUUUUAACCUUGUGUACUAUUCUGAAUCCAUUUCACUCCCAUUGAUUAUUGUAGAUGGUGGAAUUAUGCUAUGGUAGCUUUGUUCAUUUUACAGUUCCAUUUUUUUGUUUUCUAGGGGAGAAGUAGUGUUUUAUAUAGAUAAGAGUUUUAAAAAUUUAUUUGUGGUUUAUUUUUAGGUUCUCUCUAAAACCUGUAGAAAAAUUGUGUGUUUAAAGUAAUUAAAAUGUGUAUUUUUUUUUUAAAUGGUUGCUGACUUUUAAAAUUGUG
ensembl:lncRNA